UCAGACUUUGCGCCAUCGCUCAAAUGUGAUUUUUGGAGAUAACGAAAGUGAAGAGAAAAAAAACAAUGGAAAAAAACAAGUAUCAAAUCAACACCUGCCUAUUAAAGCAGUCAUCAUUUCAUUGUCUUGGCAGGCGAGCGACACUAGCAGCGAGUAGAACGAGUCCACCGACUCCUUCAAUGAGCAGGGUGUCAUUACAGACAUAGAAGACCACGUAUCCAGGAAUGCAUCUUUAACUCUGCAAAGAUCUGUGUCAUAUUUCAGAGAGGGACUUGCAGUGUGACAAAUCUCAGAGACAUUUCUGAAGCAAGGGGAAAAUCACUUACGAAUGUAUUCCCCGAGUGUUAUUUACGUAAAAGCCAUAGCAAAUGAUUUCCCCUCCCUUGCAUGUGCUGAGGAUGUUUAGAUGGGCCCACUGGCGGCACGCCAGGUCUGGAAUGAGAAAGGCACUGGCCAUGAUGGGACAAACAUGAUAGCGGUGCGGAGGAAUUUAUUUUUCUUGGAAACGGUGUCAGAUUAGCACACAGAGCAUGAAGAAAACAAUAGCGGAGGAGGAAAAUGACAUGACCUACUGGAUGCAGAUGGAAAAAAGAAAAAAAAAAAAGUGGUGUUAGUGCACAGACCAACUAUCACUCACUUUUCCAAUUCAGGUCAGGGCUUUUCCACUUCAGUCCUGUAGAUGGCAUGUUGUCAAGAGUCAAAGAUGGCCAUCUGCAAAAAACCCAAAACAAAAGCUUGUCAUUUGUGCCCAAAACUUCCAAAGAUAAAGCCUUAUGUUGCAGGCAGAUCAGAAGCCUUCAUAUGGCUGCUUAGGAGCUAUCAACAAGGGAACGGGCCAACUCCCAGUCAGAUUUUCUUCCCACAGUGCGUGGCCAGCUUAAGACAGCCUCUUCCAUUCCCAUAGGUGGAGCAAAAGCUCCUUUUAGCCUCUUGCUGUUUAGUUUAUAACCAUGAAGUCAUCAAAUAGAUAAACAAAUCAUGAUGGACCUGAAGCAUCUCCAGUCAGAGGGCGCAAAAUUUGUCUUCAUGGGCCACAUAAAAUGACGUGACGGGCCGUAUCUGGCCCCCGGGCCUGGACUUUGCCACCUAUGCAUUAAGGCAACCUGAAACACUAAAUCCAGACACAAUAGGCAGCGUGAGUGUGUGGAGGAAGAAGUAAGAGGAAGGAGGAGGCGUCGGCGCUGGCUCGCUCCGGUUUGUGCUGCUUCUCACUGGCUUGGCCCCUCAGUGAGGCUGCGAGGUGAGCAGGAGGCUACGAGGAUUUAGGACCCAAGUGUCCUAUAAAGUUCUCACGAGGCUGGCCCGUGCAUCAUUGCCAGUAUGAAGGGAGCCAGCUCGUGCAUCACACUCUGCUUCAGCCAGAUCUUCCAAUGUCAUCUUUGCAACAUACUCGGUGGUGGCAACUGUUGUUGUUUCUUCCCCGUUGGCUGACUCAUCUGCUGACUUAUCUCAGUUGCAAAUGGCAUCAAGUUCUAUUGGGCCUUCGCCUCCUCCAGCCCCUCCAUAAGAGGCUAAGAGUCCAUUUGAGCAGCCUGACCCUUGAACUUUGUAAGGUUUGAUGGCUGCAGAUCAACCUCUCUCUUGGUAGACACCUGACCAGGUCCAGAAAGUAAAAACUGUUGGGCUUUAUCUGCAGGUGAAGUCCUUGGAAGGUCACAAGUAGAGGUCAAGAUUUUUGAAAGGAACAACUACAUCACCAAGAGUCAACGGAAUCUUUGGUGCCACCUAAAACUUCUCCGAAAACAUUUUGGUUAACAGUCAUCAUUUAUGCCAGUGCUUCUUCAGCUCUCGGAAAGGAAGGAUUUUUUUUGCUCACCUUCUGAAAAAGAUGAUGACAUCACCAGCACACUGAUGAAGACAUCCACAUGGACCACAAAACCACAAUGGUGUCUCGCUCUGGCACUCUUCUCCCACUCCAGCACGCCAACAUGCAGCUAUGUGGAGAUGAGCCCAACGACAUCUAAUUUAGUGUCCGUGUGACUGCCGGACCUUUGCAUGGAAAACAUGACGCAGAUAUUCAAUCUGUGGAAAAAGAUUAUUUACAGGAGCGUGACCUGGAUUUGCUUGGAGUUGCCUUCAAGACCAACUUGUGACGAAAUGAUUGAAACAUGACUGAGGUGUUUUGCAAUGGGAACUAAAAGUGGUAGAGCCUCACCCUUGUCCAGGUGCAAGUGAUUUUCAGCUGUGCUUUGCCAAAAACCUUCAUGACUUGGAUCAGGCGGCAGGGCGGAUUUGGAUUUGAAGGGGGCACUUGAUUUUUAUGACUAUUCAUCAAAUGAGUCAUGUGAGCUGGUUCAUAACCAGCCUGAGGGAUUGUCUGCUUGGAAACUGACCUCUUUCUCAUAUCGCUUUGAACCUCCCCACAUUCAGAUAUUAAUGAUAUAUUAUUUGUGUCAAUUUGGCGACUUGGUGAAAAGGUGCUGCAGCCGUGAGUGAAAAUGGAUGACAAAACUUUGUUAAACUUGCAUGUAUUUUUGUAAAAAUCAAAAUAAAUGGAUAAGCAGUAUGAGACUCCCAUCUCUGCUG